rnacentral:rRNA from 1 species
UACGUAGGGUGCAAGCGUUGUCCGGAAUUAUUGGGCGUAAAGAGCUCGUAGGCGGUUCGUCGCGUCGGCUGUGAAAACCUGAGGCUCAACCUCAGACCUGCAGUCGAUACGGGCGGACUUGAGUACUGCAGGGGAGACUGGAAUUCCUGGUGUAGCGGUGAAAUGCGCAGAUAUCAGGAGGAACACCGGUGGCGAAGGCGGGUCUCUGGGCAGUAACUGACGCUGAGGAGCGAAAGCGUGGGGAGCGAACAGG